GUAGGUGAACCUGCGGAAGGAUCAUUAAUGAAAGUCUGGGUCUUUUGACCCUCUCUCUUCUACACACUUGUGAACUUACACUGUUGCUUUGGCAGGUUUCCGGAUGAGCGUAAGCUCGGAUGGUUAGAUCGUAAGAUGCCUGCCAGAGACAUUAUAUUUAUUCUUUUAAUAUCGUCUGAUUUUUGUUUUUAACAAAUUAUAAUAAAACUUUCAACAAUGGAUCUCUUGGCUCUGGCAUCGAUGAAGAACG
rnacentral:misc_RNA from 1 species